rnacentral:lncRNA from 1 species
UUUAUAGUUUUGAAUGAAUUUUUGUACAUUUCACUUGCUUAAUAAAAAAAUUCAAUUCAUUGGAUCGAUGAAAUAAAUGGUUAUAGAAAGUGAUUAUGUGGAAUACGAGUUAGAAAAACUUAAACUUGCUCCUGGACUAAGUGCAUUCUCACUCUACCUAACUUAGGGAUGGCAAUGGGUGCCCAUGGGUGCGGGUUUGAUACUACCCAAACCCACACCCAUAUAUUCGGUUGCCACCCAAACCCAAAUGUUGUUCGGGUGGAAAAAUGAAACCCGCACCCGCUGGGUUCGGGUUUUUUCACCCAAACCCGAAACCCAUAACAAGAACACACAUAAUUGAUUAUCAGCUCAAACCCGACCCGAAUUAUAUUUGAUAAAAUGCAAAAUGUAGCAUAAUUUGGUAAUAUAGUUUGUAAAUUUCAAAAUAGUUUUUUUUUUUAACUAAACAAUUCAUCAAAUGUUAUCAUCACUACAGCAUGCACCAGUACAGCAUUCAAAAACUUAAAAGGGAGCAAAUUACAUAGGGGUAAAUAGAUAAUUUAAUAUAUAAACGGGUGGGUGAAUGGGUUUUGGGUGUGGGUUUGAUACUACCCAAACCCACACCCAUAUAUUCGGGUGCCACCCGAACCCAAACCCAAACUCAGUCAACUCGGGUUUCGCCCGUUGACUUGGGUUUGAGUUCGGGUGAGUCUAUCGGGUUUGGGUUUUCCUGCCAUCCCUAACCUAACUAUACACACAGAUUUAUGUUCUUAAUGAAAGGAAGUUAAUAAAAGACAAUAUCAAUUUUUUCUUUCUUUCUGC